UCAGUUUGAACAUUUGCCCAAAACACAAACCAAAAACACACACGUCUCUCCCACAAACACUCUGUGGGAGCAGGCACAUUGCUGGGAAGCUUCCUACAUUCUGUAGUGAGGAGAGGUUGGGCAGCAGCACUGUGGGCUGAAGACAGUCCACUGUGGAGGGUCCAGACUUGCCAGGCUAAAGCUAAGAGAAAGAAGACCACCGUGACAGACCCGAUCGUCUCGUUGUAGUUACUGCGGGCAGCAGAGGUUGACGGGCUGAGAGGCUCUGGAGAAGACGUCAAUGAGGAGUGAUGGAUGACAGCCCAUCUGAGACAAAUCCAUGGACCUGGGCUACGGACCAGGACACAGAAUCAGGACCAAAUAACUGCAAAAUGGAUGGACCUCUGGCCUGUUGUUGCCUUGGUGAAAAUAUAGGAGAGAAAUAACAAUACAGUAUUACACCAUAAAGCUAAAUGAAAUUAUAGAGAAAUGCUCGCUAUAUUUGAUCUAACCAUUUGGCAAGGAAACCCUCAUUCUAUUUUAAAUACCAGCUCCAUGAGUAAAAUUGUUGCUUAUUUGGUUUUGAGAAGCAAAGCAGAGAUUAAAUCAAAAUAAGACAGGAAUGUCUGGUGAAAUGAGAACCCUGAAGGUUUGGAGAUAAUAUACACACUGGCCUCCAUCCAUCUACCUUAAAAGGUGAAGUCACUAGGUCACCCGUAGUGCAGUAAUAUGCUGACAGGCAGUUCAUCUCAGAUGGGGAUGUUUUGGUGUGGAGAUGUCCAUCUCUAAUGGUGGACUCUAUCUGCAAGUCUCCAUCUGUUGUUUGGGUUUGAAUAGUGGUUGUUGAGGAGAGACAGGCGCCCCGGACUGAUGCUGAUCCGAGUCUUCGUGCCACAGCCAGACAGAACCCCUCUGCUCCCCUCUCUCCAGUCCGUCACCCUCUCCCUCUACUGACAUGUUCCAUGAUGUUAUGGGAAACCCUGCCAAGUGCCCCCUGGACCAAAUACAGUCCUAGAGAGACAGUCUGUAUAAGUCCACACAAAGUCACUCCGCAGCACUUGGCUCGAAAUAAAAAUCCUCUGGUCCAGAGUACACACACUCACACGUGGUUGUUAUCCUGACUAAUCAACUCUGAAGGUUGGCAUUGAAUGCAUCUCACAUGCUUCGCUUCAUAGCAUCUGUCUAGGGACUCAGUAUUCCCAAUGCAAUGUCACUGAAAAUGCUCACGUCCAGUUUGAGGGGGGAAAAAUACUUUAUCUGCAGAAAUACUAUUAAUCGGUUCCUUGAAAAAAUAAAAACCUCCACAUCAGGAUCCCAUUUCGGGGAGAAACAAAAUACAUGUCAGGCACGCUCGCAGGCCAGCUAUCAGAUAACACAGCCACAUUAAGCAACCUAAUAGACAGACAAGCAUUUCUACAUUGUUCCCUACAUUUCAGAACAGUCCGGUAUUCGCCAGACAGAUCUUGCAACAAAGACGACUAAUCUGCAGUUAUUAUACAGAGUGUCCGCGUGUCAUUGUGGUGUCUUUCAACCACUCUGUACCACAGGGAGACGACUGUUGGACCAGCAGCUUCAUCACAUCACCUCCUUGGCUUGGACAGAGUGGGACCUGGACUCAGAUACUGAAGACAUGCGGUUAGCUAUGCAUGCAGGGGGCAACUGAAACCAGGUGGUAUGGCACAGCUCCUAGAACCCGUGUUGCUGACAGGAGCACAGGAAGGGAGAGCAUAUAUACCUCUGUCAUGUAUAAAUUACACAGCCACUGGUUGGCUGGCUGGCUCUUGACCUAUUUUACAAGUGGGGAGGCCAGUGACACGUCCAGUGACCUCUACACACCCAGGCGAAAGGCAGAUGGUGAGAUUAAUUGGCUCGCCAGCCUCGAUCAUUUGGCCAGAAGAAUGCGUGGAAUCCAGAGCCACUCCAUAAAAGUCACUCUCUGUGAACACUGCUCCGAAUCAUUAAAUCCCCGUGGCAACGGCCAUGUGAGGCUGUAAAACAUGAGGAACUAUCAUUGAGGCCUCAGCUCUGAGCUCCAGCCCUCCUCUACGAGCGCUCCUCUACGAGCGCUCCUCUACGAGCGCUCCUCUACGAGCCCUCCUCUACGAGCCCUCCUCUACGAGCCCUCCUCUACGAGCCCUCCUCUACGAGCCCUCCUCUACGAGCCCUCCUCUACGAGCCCUCCUCUACGAGCCCUCCUCUACGAGCC